rnacentral:misc_RNA from 1 species
CUCGCGCUAAACUAUCGCAUUCCGCUGGUAAGAUUCCAUGAAGGCUCCGGCGCAAGCAUUACAGGAAGCGGCGGCAAGACGAAUAGCACGACGCCGGGAGCUGUGUACGAACGAAGCCGGUUUGAAUCGAUAGCUCGCUGUCUGGGGACGGUGCCUGUGGCGAGCGCCGCGGUUGGAGCCGUUGCCGGCUUUCCCGCAGGCCGUCUCGUGGCCUCG